rnacentral:rRNA from 1 species
GAUGAACGCUGGCGGCGUGCCUAAUACAUGCAAGUCGAGCGAACAGACGAGGAGCUUGCUCCUCUGACGUUAGCGGCGGACGGGUGAGUAACACGUGGAUAACCUACCUAUAAGACUGGGAUAACUUCGGGAAACCGGAGCUAAUACCGGAUAAUAUAUUGAACCGCAUGGUUCAAUAGUGAAAGACGGCUUUGCUGUCACUUAUAGAUGGAUCCGCGCCGCAUUAGCUAGUUGGUAAGGUAACGGCUUACCAAGGCAACGAUGCGUAGCCGACCUGAGAGGGUGAUCGGCCACACUGGAACUGAGACACGGUCCAGACUCCUACGGGAGGCAGCAGUAGGGAAUCUUCCGCAAUGGGCGAAAGCCUGACGGAGCAACGCCGCGUGAGUGAUGAAGGUCUUCGGAUCGUAAAACGCUGUUAUUAGGGAAGAACAAAUGUGUAAGUAACUAUGCACGUCUGGACGGUACCUAAUCAGAAAGCCACGGCGAACUACGU